CAGUCGCCACGGGAAUACGGAGGGUACAAGCGUUAAUCGGAAUUACUGGGCGUAAAGCGCACGCAGGCGGUUUGUUAAGUCAGAUGUGAAAUCCCCGAGCUUAACUUGGGAACUGCAUUUGAAACUGGCAAGCUAGAGUCUUGUAGAGGGGGGUAGAAUUCCAGGUGUAGCGGUGAAAUGCGUAGAGAUCUGGAGGAAUACCGGUGGCGAAGGCGGCCCCCUGGACAAAGACUGACGCUCAGGUGCGAAAGCGUGGGGAGCAAACAGGAUUAGAUACCCCUGUAGUCCCUGUCUCUUAUAC
rnacentral:rRNA from 1 species